rnacentral:rRNA from 1 species
AACGUAGGAGACGAGCGUUAUCCGGAUUUACUGGGCGUAAAGAGCGUGUAGGAGGCAGUACAAGUUGGAUGUGAAAGCUCCCGGCUUAACUGGGAGAGGUCGUUCAAAACUGUGCAGCUAGAGGAAGGCAGAGGUAGACGGAACUCCGGGAGUAGUGGUGAAAUGCGUAGAUAUCCGGAAGAACACCAGAGGCGAAGGCGGUCUACUGGGCCUUAACUGACACUGAGACGCGAAAGCCAGGGUAGCAAACGGGAUUAGAGACCCCGGUAGUCCUGGCCGUAAACGAUGCAGACUGGGCGUUUAUGGGGUAAAACCUGUGAGUGCCGAAGCAAACGCGAUAAGUCUGCCGCCUGGGGAGUACGGUCGCAAGAUUAAAACUCAAAGGAAUUGACGGGGGCCCGCACAAGCAGCGGAGCGUGUGGUUUAAUUCGAUGAUACGCGAAGAACCUUACCAGGGUUUGACAUACAAGUGGUAGAGAAAGGAAACUGGACCGACCCUUCGGGGAGCUUGAACAGGUGCUGCAUGGCU